ACCCCACCGUAUGCACGAAUAUGUAGCUUUGUUGGCUGUGGUUGUCUUCAGUGAGAGAGUUAUUUCUGUUUGCCAAGUUACAGCAGCUAGAGCGUGGUGAUCUAACUCACAUCUGUAGAUGCUAACCUUGCUCCUGGGAUUUUGAUCGAAUGUGUCCUGCUCACAUAAUUCCUGAAGGGGGCUGGAAGUGGAGUACCCUUCAGUUCAGCUCCUGGCAUUUAAAUGUAUGUCUAGAACACUCGCUGAAAAUGAAUCUAGGACCCUGUCUUCCCAGAGGAACUCUGUCUCUUUAUAGAUAUGUAAGAUAGGAGAUCCUUAAGGCAUCUUCCACAGAGAUGAGAAAGAAAGAUAGGGGAUGGUAGUAGACUACCCUUUCCUUAAGGAAAUCCAGCGUGGUCUAGCAGUGCCACAGGAACUACUGACCUGGAAAACUCUUGCGGAUGCCCCCUGUACCACAUCACUUGAGGCAAUAAUGUGCAAAGAGUUUGGGACUUGAAAGCUUAUUUGGUCUUGAAGUGACUCAGAGAUGAAGGAAAGGAUGUUCAUACCAGUGAAAAUGAUGAAAUCAACAGAGAGCAAUGAAAAUCCUUGUGGCUUCUUGUGUGGGAUGAGCUUCUGUAGCAUGCUCAAAAAGGAGGAAGAGUGUCUGAGGCCAGUAGCAGUGGGAGCAGGUUGCUGAGACACUGGGGCUCCGGGAGGAAAGGCAUGGGAAGUCAGAAUCCAGGGAGAUAAACACUGGGAAUCCAAGGUGCAGCUGAGCAGGACUGUGUUGGGAGCCCCUGAGCAGAGGCGCCCAGAAGAGCGGGCACCGGAGCAGCACCUGGUGUGGCUUCACUGCAGGGACAUCGACAUUGCAGACAGCAGGGAGUGCUUGUGGUCCUGAGCAACCGGUGCUUUGUUGUGCUCCUUGAAAUUGCCAUUUCUAACACGUGGUUGUAAAGUCUGAAGAACAUAGGGUUUUCUGGGGAAAUGUUGAAGUCUGAAAUUCAGUGUUUUUUUUCUUAGGUUUUAUUAAAAAGAAAUAAAAUCUGAUAAACCUU